GAGUGAACGCUGGCGGUAGGCCUAACACAUGCAAGUCGAACGGCAGCACAGUAAGAGCUUGCUCUUACGGGUGGCGAGUGGCGGACGGGUGAGGAAUACAUCGGAAUCUACUUUUUCGUGGGGGAUAACGUAGGGAAACUUACGCUAAUACCGCAUACGACCUAUGGGUGAAAGCAGGGGAUCUUCGGACCUUGCGCGAUUGAAUGAGCCGAUGUCGGAUUAGCUAGUUGGCGGGGUAAAGGCCCACCAAGGCGACGAUCCGUAGCUGGUCUGAGAGGAUGAUCAGCCACACUGGAACUGAGACACGGUCCAGACUCCUACGGGAGGCAGCAGUGGGGAAUAUUGGACAAUGGGCGCAAGCCUGAUCCAGCCAUACCGCGUGGGUGAAGAAGGCCUUCGGGUUGUAAAGCCCUUUUGUUGGGAAAGAAAAGCAGCAGGUUAAUACCCCGCUGUUCUGACGGUACCCAAAGAAUAAGCACCGGCUAACUUCGUG
rnacentral:rRNA from 1 species